GAUGAAGAACGUAGCGAAAUGCGAUAAGUAAUGUGAAUUGCAGAAUUCAGUGAAUCAUCGAAUCUUUGAACGCACCUUGCGCCCUUUGGCCAUUCCGAAGGGCAUGCCUGUUUGAGUAUCAUGAACACCUCAACUCUCAUGGCUCGCCAUGAUGAGCUUGGACUUUGGGGGUCUUGCUGGCCUGUGGUCGGCUCCUCUCAAAUGGAUCAGCUUGCCAGUGUUUGGUGGCAUCACAGGUGUGAUAACUAUCUGCGCUUGUGGUUUUCCAUCAGAUAACCUUCAGUGAUGGAGGUUCGCUGGAGCUCAUAAACGUCUCCCCUAAGCGGGGACAGCCCUUUGAAUGUUUGAUCUCAAAUCAGGUAGGACUACCCGCUGAACUUAAGCAUAUAAAUAAGCGGAGGA
rnacentral:misc_RNA from 1 species